UCCAGACUCCUACGGGAGGCAGCAGUGAGGAAUAUUGGUCAAUGGACGAAAGUCUGAACCAGCCAUGCCGCGUGCAGGAAGACGGCUCUAUGAGUUGUAAACUGCUUUUGUACAAGGGUAAACCUGAAUACGUGUAUUCAGCUGAAAGUACUGUACGAAUAAGGAUCGGCUAACUCCGUGCCAGCAGCCGCGGUAAUACGGAGGAUGCGAGCGUUAUCCGGAUUUAUUGGGUUUAAAGGGUGCGCAGGCGGAAUGUCAAGUCAGCGGUAAAAUUUCGGGGCUCAACCCCGUCGUGCCGUUGAAACUGGCAGUCUCGAGUUGGAGAGAAGUAUGCGGAAUGCGCGGUGUAGCGGUGAAAUGCAUAGAUAUCGCGCAGAACUCCGAUUGCGAAGGCAGCAUACCGGCGCUCAACUGACGCUCAUGCACGAAAGCGUGGGUAUCGAACAGGAUUAGAUACCCCAGUA
rnacentral:rRNA from 1 species